rnacentral:rRNA from 1 species
GACGUAGGGCGCGAGCGUUGUCCGGAUUUAUUGGGCGUAAAGAGCUCGUAGGCGGCUUGUCGCGUCGUUCGUGAAAACCUGUGGCUCAACUACAGGCUUGCGGUCGAUACGGGCAGGCUGGAGUUCGGUAGGGGAGACUGGAAUUCCUGGUGUAGCGGUGAAAUGCGCAGAUAUCAGGAGGAACACCGGUGGCGAAGGCGGGUCUCUGGGCCGAUACCGACGCUGAGGCACGAAAGCUAGGGGAGCAAACAGG